rnacentral:tRNA from 1 species
GGAGACGUACUUCAGUGGUAGAAGGCCCGCCUGUCACGCGGGAGGCCGCCGGUUCGAAUCCGGUCGUUUCCG